rnacentral:lncRNA from 1 species
CCGCCCCUCAUCCGCGUCUGCCAAUCGCCCUGGACCUCUGGGAGCGUCCCACCCGCCUCCCUCGAUCCGGGUUCGCCCCCAAGCCGGGGCCGGGAGCGGUCCCCGCCCCGCUGAAGAGCCUGUAGUUUUUGGGACCACUGCCCAGAGAGAACCCGCCGAGACUCUCUGCUUCCUGAGUUUCUUUUCUGGAGGUUUGGCUGGAGAGCAGCCCGGAGAACAUUCCCCUACUGCCUGACCAUGGGAAGUCAUAGGAGGAGCACCGAUGUGUGAGAAUUGAGACACAGUGCUGCCCACCAUGUCUCUCCACUUCUCAUUAUGGCUGUACAACCAGUUUCAGAAGGCUUCUGUGAGAUAACGAAAUGUUUCCUGGGAACCUUCCACCAAAGUCAUAUAUCAGGCGUUCGAGUCUAGACCAGUCACUGCCCCAGGGCAGUCCAGGUUUACAUUUACUCUCCCAUACUUUCUGCAUACUUCUCUAGUCAAGCUUGCCAUUCUCUUUGCCUAGGGGGACUCAGUUUCCCUGUAGGCUGAUGUCUGCUGAGUCAGUGGGGAUAGGGCAGUUUGACCCAUGAGAUUUACCUGCUCAGGGCCAGGACCUAACUGGUGAUUGUGAAAAAUCACUCAGCGUGAAUAGGUUUGUAGAAGGCCGCCACCAUCAUAGGGGCCACAGCUAGAAGCUAGAGUGUGUCCCAUUGGCAAGCCCGGCCCCUCAGCUUUCCUACAGAAUCUCAAGAAAGUGAGAACUUCAGAGAUUCCCUUGGGUGCAAAACAACAGCACAAGCCCAGAAGGAGUGGAGACCUCACAACACACGAGAUCCUGGACAUGAGGCAGACCCUGUAACCACAGCAGUUGUCUCUUUGGGUUGGUAAAUGAAAUAAUGCUUUGAAUGUAGGCUCUAGGGCAGAGAUGGACUUGAGGAAAACACCACAUAGGAUAACUGAAUAUGAAACACUAGGAAUAAAGGUCUGUAUCAUUUUAAUGCAUAGUCACUCCAUGGGAAGAUGUUUAAAAAAUAGAAACAGAUUUCUGAUGUGAAUUUUAAUUUACAAGAUCUUCUCUUCCCUGAUGUCUCCUUCUUCCUCUUUUUUUUUCUCAUUCUUUUCCUUUCAUCUUCUCCUAGUCAAUAAAGAGCAACGGGACUUGACAUCCAGAGAGAAAGAAAUAUGAGGAGCCACACCCCACAAUUUCAUCUUGUAAAUGAGCUUAGGAAAGGAGAACAGGAGGGAAAGCCCCCGGGGCUGUCGGCCUGGGCUUCUGUCACUGCAGACAUCUGGCUUUUAAUGACAUGAUAUGGGAAGAAUCAUUUGGCACCAUCAUUGCUGUUAAAUGUCUUUCAAGCAUUAAUAAAACAUAAGAGACUCGCUUAAAAUGGCA